ensembl:snRNA RNU6-842P RNA, U6 small nuclear 842, pseudogene
GUGCUCGCUUCAGCAGCACAUACACUAAAAUUGGAACGAUACAGAGAAGAUCAGCAUGGCCCCUGUGCAAGAAUGACAUGCAAAUUCAUGAAGCGUUCCAUAUUUUU